UAAUAUUGUUAAGGGAAGGUAUAAUAUUGUUAAGGGAAGGUGUAAUCUUAAAGGUGUAAUAGUGUUGAGGGAAGGUGUAAUAUUGUUAAGGGAAGGUGUAAUGUUAAAGGUGUAAUAGUGUUAAUGGAAGGUAUAAUGUAAAGGUGUAAUAGUUUAAAGGGAAGGUAUAAUAUUGUUAAGAGAAGGUAUAAUGUUAAAGGUGUAAUAGUGUUAAGGGAAGGUAUAAUAUUGUUAAGGGAAGGUGUAAUGUUAAAGGUGUAAUAGUUUUGAGGGAAGGUGUAAUAGUUUUGAGGGAAGGUGUAAUGUUAAAGGUGUAAUAGUUUUGAGGGAAGGUGUAAUGUUAAAGGUGUAAUAGUGUUGAGGGAAGGUAUAAUAUUGUUAAGGGAAGGUGUAAUAGUGUUGAGGGAAGGUGUAAUGUAAAUGUGUAAUAGUGUUGAGGGAAGGUAUAAUAUUGUUAAGGGAAGGUAUAAUGUAAAGGUGUAAUAGUUUAAAGGGAAGGUAUAAUAUUGUUAAGGGAAGGUGUAAUGUUAAAGGUGUAAUAGUUUUGAGGGAAGGGGUAAUAGUGUUGAGGGAAGGUGUAAUGUAAAUGUGUAAUAGUGUUGAGGGAAGGUAUAAUAUUGUUAAGGGAAGGUAUAAUGUAAAGGUGUAAUAGUUUAAAGGGAAGGUAUAAUAUUGUUAAGGGAAGGUGUAAUGUUAAAGGUGUAAUAGUUUUGAGGGAAGGGGUAAUAGUGUUGAGGGAAGGUGUAAUGUUAAAGGUGUAAUAGUUUUGAGGGAAGGUGUAAUGUUAAAGGUGUAAUAGUGUUGAGGGAAGGUAUAAUAUUGUUAAGGGAAGGUGUAAUAGUGUUGAGGGAAGGUUUAAUGUAAAUGUGUAAUAGUGUUGAGGGAAGGUAUAAUAUUGUUAAGGGAAGGUGUAAUGUUAAAGGUGUAAUAGUGUUGAGGGAAGGUAUAAUAUUGUUAAGGGAAGGUGUAAUAGUGUUGAGGGAAGGUGUAAUGUUAAAGGUGUAAUAGUGUUGAGGGAAGGUAUAAUAUUGUUAAGGGAAGGUGUAAUAGUGUUGAGGGAAGGUAUAAUGUAAAGGUGUAAUAGUGUUGAGGGAAGGUAUAAUAUUGUUAAGGGAAGGUGUAAUGUAAAGGUGUAAUAGUGUUGAGGGAAGGUAUAAUGUAAAGGUGUAAUAGUGUUGAGGGAAGGUAUAAUAUUGUUAAGGGAAGGUGUAAUGUAAAGGUGUAAUAGUGUUGAGGGAAGGUAUAAUAUUGUUAAGGGAAGGUGUAAUGUAAAGCUGUAAUAGUCUUAAGGGAAGGUAAAUGUUUAGUGAAAUUGUUAUGGUGUGAAUCUAAGGUGUAUGUUAUGUUGAUGUAAAAUAAAGGCAUUAACCCCAAA